ACUAAGAUAGCAAAGUGGUUAAUGCAAAAGAUUUAGGAUCUUAUACCGUAGGUUCAAUUCCUUCUCUUAGUU
rnacentral:tRNA from 1 species